AUGUGGGACUUAAUAUGGAAAUCAAAUGUGGCCGGAAAAGUUGAGAUAUUCGGAUGGAGAGUGGCGACUAAAACUCUAGCCACUAAGGAAAAUAAGUUUAAACGAACACUGGAAACGGAUGCAACCUGUUGUAUCUGUGGCCAAGGUGAUGAAAACGAGUACCAUGCAGUCGUCACGUGCACGAAAAGCAGAGGGCUGAGAUCGGCAAUGCGCGAGGUUUGGUAUCUGCCGCCGGAGAGGAAAUUUCGGUACACGGGAGAUAACUGGCUGCAGGUGCUACUGGAUUCAGAGAAUGAGGACACCCGGGCAAAAAUCCUGCUGCUUUUCUGGCGUUGUUGGCACCUCCGCGAAGACUGUAUACGCAAUGAUGGAAGACAGACAAUUAGGUCUUCUGUGCAGUUUCUUGAGCAGUAUGAGCCGAGUCUCGCCUCCCCGUCAGACAUGCUUUGGACCCCCCCUCUCCGAGGUACAGUCAAACUAAAUACAGACGCGUCCUUUGUGGCUGAGACAGGAGGGGGCGCCGCAGGAGCAGUCGCAAGAGACCACUAG
rnacentral:rRNA from 1 species